GACGUAGGGCGCGAGCGUUGUCCGGAUUUAUUGGGCGUAAAGAGCUCGUGGGCGGCUUGUCGCGUCGUCCGUGAAAACUUGGGGCUCAACCCCAAGCUUGCGGUCGAUACGGGCAGGCUAGAGUUCGGUAGGGGAGACUGGAAUUCCUGGUGUAGCGGUGAAAUGCGCAGAUAUCAGGAGGAACACCGGUGGCGAAGGCGGCAUCCUGGACCAACACUGACACUGAGGAGCGAAAGCCAGGGGAGCAAACGGG
rnacentral:rRNA from 1 species